AGACAAGAGGGACAGGGAGGCUUCGCGGAACCCUACGCCCACCCGACGCGUUCGCCCGUCCGUUUUUAUUUUUAUUUUUAUUUUGGUUUUUUUGUUGUUGUUCUCUUCUUUUGUCUUUUUUUUUUCUUUAGAGACGGGGUCUAGCUAUGUUGGCCAGGCUGGUCUCGAGUCCCCGGGCUCAAGCGAUCCUCCCGCCUCAGCCUCCGGAAAAGUGGGACUACAGGCGCGCAUCGCCGCACCCGGCCAAUCCCUGUUUUAA
rnacentral:lncRNA from 1 species